rnacentral:rRNA from 1 species
AGGUGAAAAGCACCCCGGAAGGGGAGUGAAAGAGAUCCUGAAACCGUGUGCCUACAAGUAGUUAGAGCCCGUUAAUGGGUGAUAGCGUGCCUUUUGUAGAAUGAACCGGCGAGUUACGAUUACGUGCAAGGUUAAGCUUUAGAAGGCGGAGCCGCAGCGAAAGCGAGUCUGAAUAGGGCGAAAUAGUACGUGGUCGUAGACCCGAAACCAGGUGAUCUACCCAUGUCCAGGGUGAAGGUGAGGUAACACUUACUG